rnacentral:rRNA from 1 species
UUAAAUUGAAGAGUUUGAUCAUGGCUCAGAUUGAACGCUGGCGGCAGGCCUAACACAUGCAAGUCGAACGGUAACAGGAARCAGCUUGCUGYUUYGCUGACGAGUGGCGGACGGGUGAGUAAUGUCUGGGAAACUGCCYGAUGGAGGGGGAUAACUACUGGAAACGGUAGCUAAUACCGCAUAACGUCGCAAGACCAAAG